rnacentral:RNase_P_RNA from 1 species
CCAGAGGGUCGGGCGGCCGCGGGUUUCGCAAGAAGCACGAGGAAAGUCCGGGCUCCACGGAACAACGGUGCCGGGUAACGCCCGGCGGGCCGUCCUUCGGGAAGGCUCAGGGAAAGUGCCACAGAAAGCAUACCGCUCGCUCUCGGGCGGGUAAGGUCGAAAGGGUGCGGCAAGAGCGCACCGCGGGAACGGCAACGGUCCCGGCACGGAAAACCCCACCGGGUGCAAGACCGAAUAGGGGCGGCAUAUGGGCUUGUUCCGGCUCGUCGCCCGGGUUGGUUGCUUGAGGGGCGGAGCAAUCCGUCUCCUAGAUGAAUGGCCGCACAGGCGCAGGAAUGCGCUGGACAGAACCCGGCUUACAGGCCCUCUGGCGAU